rnacentral:rRNA from 1 species
GAUGAACGCUGGCGGCGUGCCUAAUACAUGCAAGUCGAGCGAACAGACGAGGAGCUUGCUCCUCUGACGUUAGCGGCGGACGGGUGAGUAACACGUGGAUAACCUACCUAUAAGACUGGGAUAACUUCGGGAAACCGGAGCUAAUACCGGAUAAUAUAUUGAACCGCAUGGUUCAAUAGUGAAAGACGGUUUUGCUGUCACUUAUAGAUGGAUCCGCGCCGCAUUAGCUAGUUGGUAAGGUAACGGCUUACCAAGGCAACGAUGCGUAGCCGACCUGAGAGGGUGAUCGGCCACAGCGGAACUGAGACACGGUCCAGACUCCUACGGGAGGCAGCAGUAGGGAAUCUUCCGCAAUGGGCGAAAGCUUGACGGAGCAACGCCGCGUGAGUGAUGAAGGUCUUCGGAUCGUAAAACUCUGUUAUUAGGGAAGAACAAAUGUGUAAGUAACUAUGCACGUCUUGACGGUACCUAAUCAGAAAGCCACGGCUAACUACGU